AAAAUUUAAAUUUUGAAAAUUAAAAUUUAAAAUUUAAAAUUUAAAAUUUAAAAUUUGAAUUUUAAAAUUUGAUAUUUUGAAAUUUAAAAUUUAAAAUUUGAAUUUUGAAAACUAAAAUUUAAAAUGAAAUUUGAAAUUCUAAAUUUUAAAUUUGAAAAUUAAAAAUUUAGAAUUAAAAAUUGAAAAUAUAAAUUAAAAAAUUUAAAAUUUGAAGUUUUAUUAUUAGUAAACUAAAAUUUAAAAUUUGAUAUUCGAAAAUUAAAAUUUGAAUUUCUAAAAUUAAAAAAUUUAAAAUUUAAAAUUUGACAUUUAAAUUUUGAAAUUAUAAAAUUUAAUUUUUGAUAUUUCAAAUUUAAAAUUCAAAUUUUAAAUUUGAAAUUAAAAAUUUGAAUAUAAAUUAAAUUGUAAAAUUUAAAAUUUAAAAUUUAAAAUCUAUGUUGAAAUUUAAAGUUUCAUGUUGAAAUUGAAAAGUUAGAACUUUGAUGCAUCUUUGCCCAAGAAUGAUGAAAUUCUUUUUAUUUGGUUAAAGUGGAUUAUAAUUUUACUCCAUCUUUUGGAGUAUAGUUUAAAAAUACUUCAAAAAUUAUAGUAUUUUGAGCUAGAGAAACUGAUAGGAAAAUGCAUGGUGCGGAUAUUUUACUUCUCAAGGAUGAACUCUCGGAUUUCUAUUCCUGUAUGUCGGGCA
rnacentral:lncRNA from 1 species